UAUAAUAACACAGAUUUAUCAUUUGUAGAAAACAAAGGAUAUAUAUUAGAAAAGGCAAAAAAAGGAGAAUUAUUUCUUGAUGCCAUGAUCUAUGUCCGUUUCUUUAAUUUGUUAACUUCUCCGAUGAGAUAAAUCCAGACAAUCAGAGAAGAUUCUGGCUCCUAGUUUUGUACUAGAAGAGUUUGUUGAAUCCUGGGGGAUACACCAACACAGGGUGAAAUAUCGUUAAGGACAGUGUCUUAAUUGACAUGCCUCAAGCUAUCAAGAGUUUCUUUACAAGGGUUCGUGAUCAAGUAUUUUCAGACAAGGUUCGUGAUCAAGUAUUUUUCGUAAGAUUUCCAACAAUCUUAAGGAUAUUUCUCACUCUAUUCUUAUGGAAAAUUGAAAGAGAAUAACUUAGUACAGUAUGUCUAAGUUCCAGGUAUGUUUAUGCUAACAUUUGAAUAUUAACCGAACUUUAUAAUACGUAGAUCUUUGGCCUCAAGAUGAUACAUAUAAUCUCCUUUCUAUUUUAGAGUAUUUAUGGUUGAAUAUAAUUUGUUGGUGCGAAUGUUGACACCCAAUUUUGGCUCAUCGUGCUUGAAAAUAAUAUCUCAGGGAUCCCUAAUCAUUAAAUGGCACAAAAUACAACUUUUUACAUUUUUUUUUUAAUUUUAACACAAUUUAUUGAUAAUUAUCCAUAUUUAUGCAAAUAUUAGAAAUUUUAUCAAUUUAUUUCCAUUUAAAUUAAUUUUGAUAAUCAUUACUUUUUUACAGUCAUCUGCACAUACACGGUGUAACACUGCAAUUUUAUUUCAGUAAAUAAUUAGUUUUUUUAAAUUUCUUCACAACACAGUAUAUUUUUUAAAUAACAAUCACAUAUUUAUUUAUGUAUUUUAAUUGCAUAUUAAUACUUACAUUUCUUAUAUGUAUUUAGUUAUAAUUUAAUACUGUCCGUCAGUACAUAAAAUCGAAAGAGUUUUAUCGCAAACACAAUUAAUUACGACAUUUUUGGUUAAACUAUCUGUGGUAUCAAAUCACAUCCCUAUUCUUACUCCCAAGAAAAAUGGAAACAUGUUCCUUUAAUUUUGGCUUUUUUUUUUCAAAGUCACUUUUGCACAUAUCUUCCUUUUUCUUUACUUACACUUUCCUUUUCAAACUUUUACACUCUUUUUCUAACUUUGAAGACUUUUGCUUUUUUCCUCUUACCUAACUUUGAAGACUUUGCUGAUCUUUCUUUUUAAACUCUUUCGUACCUCUUUCUUUAAGAAAAAAAAAAAAAAAAAAGGAGGAGAUUUCUCACUUUUCUCCCUUUCUCAUACUCACAAACUCCUCUCAUCUCUUUGAUUUUGGGAGAAACUAUUUCUCCUUUUAAUUUGCUCACCACUUCCAACCCCUAUUUUAUUUUGCUCAAAUAGCUCUCACGCCAACCUCCAUCUCCGGUGAAUUAUGUUGGGUUGAUGUACUGUUUUAUUUCAUUUUGGGCGUUUGUUCAUCAAUUUUCUACUAAUUGCUUUUCUUUUGUGAGUUAAAAAACAAAUAAUAUAUUUUGACCGAUGAAGAAAUUUUCGUCGAUUCUCGAGGCCUUCCCUGCACAUAAGACGGGUCAUUUUUAUUUUAAAUUGCAAUAUAUAUUUAUUAUCGUUUCUUUAAUUCAUUUAGUAAAAUAUUUAUCAAUUACUAACAUUUUUAUUAAGUUUUAUGUAGGUAUCCAGAGUUACUUCCCAAAGACGACUCUCGAAGAUCUUUUCAGAUUUCUAUCUGUAUUUACUUUUAUGUUCUUAAAAUUAUUCAAAGCAUAAAAUAUAGUGAACCCUUACUUUUUGGGGUGCCGGUUGGUGAAAUUUAUUUAUUAAUGUUACACAUUUUUUAUUUAAA